rnacentral:lncRNA from 1 species
GCAGAUCUGCAUCCUAAUCUUACAGCAGAUAUACAUUAAAACAUGCCAUAGGAAAGAAACAUAAACCCAAAAACUAAUUAUGAGCCAGCAAUCCAAUACAUAAACUAAUUUAUUUCUCUUUUCAACUUCCCAAAUUGAGUGCUACAUUGUAUGAAUUAUAGAGGUAUGUACCUGAGAGAUAAAAAGGAAAUAAGAAGCAAGUGAGAAUCAACAAACGAACAAUAGCAGCAGCACAGUAAGGCUCAACAUAAACUAUCCAUCGCAACCAUAAGAAUAGUGUGGAAAUAACCCAGAUUCAAAUCACCUCCACCUCAAAGGAUCAGAAAUUGGUCCAACGAUUGUAAAAAUCCAGAAAAAUCCCCUCAAAUUUCAAUGAAAUAGUACUUUUGGUUUUCAGGAGUUUGACUCUUCAAGUUGGUGAAACAGUAAAAUCUCUACAGCUUGUUGUAUUUUUAACUCUUAAAAGUUUCUAUAAAACAGUAAAAUUAAUGUAGCUUUUUUCUUUAUAUUUUUGGUUUUUCAUAUUUCUCCUUCUCUUCAGAUUUUCUCUUAAGGUCUCUAAGGUCUGUCCAAAAAUCUCCUCUCUAGAGCCAGAAGGAGUGCCUUUAUAGGCCAGCAAAAAUAGGGUAGCCCUACAGCUUGGUUAUUUCAACUUGGUCCCUCAUUUUUAAACUUGUUAAACAAGUCAUAAAACCAAAAUUAACAAAAAAUCCCUGCUAGAAUCUUCCAGGUCAGUUAUGAAAGAUUCCCCAACCCCAAAUGCCUAAACUACCCCUGAACUAGGUCUGAAUUACUAACCUAGGCUAAACCAAAAUCAAUUCCAACUACACCAGCACCUUUAACCUUGGUCAAUGCUGACCAUGAUUAAUUUCAAAGGAUUUUAAUUUUCAAUCACAACCAUACGACAUUCAAUUACAACCAGACCCCUAAAUUGGACUGCAAAUUCGACUAACCUAAUUUUAAACUUGAAUUAACUUUGAUUAACUAAUUUUGAUCUUAAAUUAACUACUAAUAUAAACUAAAAUCUACCAGUGGAAAUUAUGGAUUAAACAUGAACCUAAGAGAAUAAGCAAAAAUUAAUUGACAAUACUAGAUCAUAAGCUUGAAUGACUUAAAACGAGUAGAGAAACAAAACAAAACUAUGCUUAAAUUAUUAUUAAUGACAGAGAAACCACAUAAAGGAAAUAAAAACUUACUUAUCAAGGUUGGACAAGGCUGAACUCCUAUUCGAGCCCCGGAAUGAUGUAAGCAUUUGUUCUUUACCAAGAACAAACGAACAUAUUAUUUCGUGGCCCGAGUCGGACUCUAGACUCAGGGAAUUGGGAAGAACUCAAACAAUUCGAACUUCUAGGGUUCUGCCACUCUGAGAUUUGAAAUUCAAGAAGCUCUGGUAACAUUCAAAAGAAACCAGUUAGAGGUUCGGGAAGAGGGGAUGAGGAGAAUUUAGGAUGUAAGUUUGGAGUCAUUUGAGGUCGGCAUUGCCGUGGGUGGCGGAGCAGCCUAUGCUUCAAACAAAUAUUCGACGUGUUUGUCUGCUAUUCGAAAGGUAUCAAUGGUAGAAAUGGAAAGAGGAGGUAAAGGAGGUGGGAUGGUGUAAUUUUGGAGGUCAUCAGAGCAUCGCCGCCGCCGCCGGCGGAGGGCAGUGGGAUUAGGGUUUGGGUCUGAGAAACAAA